AUAUGAUAUAUUCGAUUGCUUUUUUUCAAACUCAGAUUCUAUUUACUUUAUUUUGUUUUAUUACUUUUUUAUGGCAAUUUUUUUGUGCUUGAUAUAUGUUAGAAGAAACUUUGUUUCAAUUGUUUAUAAGUGAUUCCAUUUUUUUUAUUUUUCUGGUUCAUAAGUGUUGUUUCUUCUUAUAAUAGAACUAUAGUUAUAUAUUAAAACAAUUCUGAGUUAUCACUCGAGGUGUAUUGGUGUUAUGAAAAUGCCUGUACCAAAAGGACCAUAAAAUUGUCCAGAAUACAAGAUUAACAUGAUUGGGCCAACAAUUGCAAAGGGAACACCACAUUCCACUUGGAUCUUGUACUAUGAAGUUGAAUGCAACAACUGAGAUGAUGCCAGUAACAUAGCCCAACUUCACUGAUAUUCACCCUUUUGCACCAACUGAACAGGCUCAAGGUUAUCAAGAAAUGUUCAACAAUUUGGGUGACUUGCUGUAUACCAUCACCGGGUUUGACUCCUUCUCUUUGCAACCAAAUACUGGAGUUGCAGGAGAGUAUGCUGGGUUGAUGGUUAUUCGAGCAUAUCAUUUGCAUUAUAUCAGCAUUGCACUGGAAGAGGCCAUAGACGCUGCUGUUACCAAAAGAAACGACCUUGGUGAUGUGGGAUCCGGCAAAGUUAGUGGCAUUGGAAGAAAGCCAAGAUAAAAGAGUUUUGAGGUUGGUAUGAUAGGUGCUGUUUACUCAAAGGUGCUGUUUCCUGUGCAGUUAGACAUGUGGGAAUCGGUAUCUGGUGUAGUUGUAGAAGAAGAACAAAACCAUGUGAUGGAGAGUAGCAGUAGAAACUGGAAUAACAAAAACGAAUGCAUGUUUCUUUGUUCAUAACGAAAAGCAAUUAAGGAGCUCAUAUUAUAGUGUAACUAGCAAGUGGAGUGCUAUCUAACCUUUAUUUUGAUGAUCAUGCUCUCCAAAUGCACAUUCUUUAUUAUUUUAGCAAACCUUUGUUGAUUUCUUUUAGAAAGGGACUUUAUAUAUUUGAAAGAAUCUAUUUGAGCAUUCAUUAAGUCGUUCCUUGCUACUUAUAUUAUAUUUAUAGUAAGUAAUAACUUCAAAUAUGGUGUGUAAAUGGCUACAAGGAGUUAAAU